UCUCGGCUCCGCCCCCGAGGCCGGAGGAGGAGGAAUAAAGGAUGUUGUUCCACAACGCCUCCAGUACAAAACUCGGCUAAACUCAGUUUGCUCCAGGUCUUAAAGGACGCAACACCAAGAUCUGCUAUCUGCAAAAGAAGGCAAAACCAGAGAUCAAAGGACAGAAUACAUGAGUGAGCAGUAAAGAAUUGAGCUGAUUGUUACCCAAUAUCCUGUAUGCUGACAUUGCUUUUAGCACACAGAAGACAUAUACAGACCAGAGUAGAGAGAUUGCAUAAAGUACAGAGAAAGUGAUCCCAGCAUUCUGUGAGCUCCAUCUUCACCUUAACAUGAAAGUCAUUAUCCACAAGGAUGUUUUCCGGCUUUAAGUCUUUAUGAAUUACACCUUCUCUGUGUCGAACUACAAAGCAACAGAGAUGAUAUUCUUAUGAGAUUUAUAAGCUGGAAUUCCAAAAGCAGAGUUCCAAAGCAGUGUUGAAAGGGGCAACAUCAAUGAAACAAGUUAGUAUAGCAACACCUUCUCUCUGAGAUGAUGACUUUGGAGGAUAAUACUCAUCAGUAUUGCACCUCUGCAGCAUCUCCUGGAUGUAUCUGCCCUUCUCCAUUCUUGUUGCUACCAACUGGGUGGAGACAAUGAUUUCCAGCUACUAUCAGAGCAGCAUCCAAACAAGACAUCCUGCUAUAGCUUUUUUCUCCCUUCUUCUAUUCCCACCUCCUAUUGUAUUCUUCAUGUUACUUACAAAAUAAAAGAGCUAGUCUUGUCAUUCUUUGGCCCCCUCAAAAAAA